AGACCACAGGGCAGGCCAGCUUGGAGUGAGGGCCUGUCACGACGUAAUUUGCAUGCAAAUUAGUUUGUGGGCGAAAGAGAAAAAUCUAUAUUCUACAUAUUGUUUUUCUCCAAGUCACCUCAUUUUCUGCACUCCUACUGUUGUUCCGUCCACAGUCUAAGGACCGGAGAGCAUGAAGUGGAAAUGAUCAGUAAGAAAAGACUGUCCUGGAAAAGCCCAGCGUCCCGGCAAAGCCCAGGCUGCAGAUUCCCGCCGCCCUCACUGCCCCGCGUCAGGGGCCUCGCAGAACAUGGUCCAGUUUGAUGAGCUGUCUUUCUCUGGAUAAAAGGGAGAAGCUGGCAGUUGGGAGAAUAUGUACAAAAGAGCCCAGACAAACUUGACUAGAAAAGAAGGCCGGACAAGUGUUAGGAUGAGCGAUGACGUAGAAUACUAGCCAGCCAAUUGAAAGAGCACGAGAAGGGGAGGGCGGAAGUGACGAGAGGUAUCCCUCCGCGGGGCGAGAGG
ensembl:lncRNA